GGCGGGGAAGAACAACAGGGGAUUGCCCCAGUAACGGCGAGUGAAGCGGCAACAGCUCAAAUUUGAAAUCUGGCUCUCGGGCCCGAGUUGUAAUUUGUAGAGGAUGCUUUUGGUGAGGUGCCUUCCGAGUUCCCUGGAACGGGACGCCAUAGAGGGUGAGAGCCCCGUCUGGUUGGACACCGAUCCUCUGUAAAGCUCCUUCGACGAGUCGAGUAGUUUGGGAAUGCUGCUCUAAAUGGGAGGUAUAUGUCUUCUAAAGCUAAAUACCGGCCAGAGACCGAUAGCGCACAAGUAGAGUGAUCGAAAGAUGAAAAGAACUUUGAAAAGAGAGUUAAAAAGUACGUGAAAUUGUUGAAAGGGAAGCGCUUGUGACCAGACUUGGGCUUGGUUGAUCAUCCGGGGUUCUCCCCGGUGCACUCUUCCGGCUCAGGCCAGCAUCAGUUCGCCCUGGGGGAUAAAGGCUUCGGGAAUGUGGCUCUCUCCGGGGAGUGUUAUAGCCCGCUGCGUAAUACCCUGUGGCGGACUGAGGUUCGCGCAUUCGCAAGGAUGCUGGCGUAAUGGUCAUCAGUGACCCGUCUUGAAACACGGACCAAGGAGUCGUCUUCGUAUGCGAGUGUUCGGGUGUCAAACCCCUACGCGAAAUGAAAGUGAACGCAGGUGAGAGCUUCGGCGCAUCAUCGACCGAUCCUGAUGUUAUCGGAUGGAUUUGAGUAAGAGCAUACGGGGCCGGACCCGAAAGAAGGUGAACUAUGCCUGUGUAGGGUGAAGCCAGAGGAAACUCUGGUGGAGGCUCGCACCGGUUCUGACGUGCAAAUCGAUCGUCAAACAUGGGCAUGGGGGCGAGAGACUAAUCGAACCUUCUAGUAGCUGGUUUCCG
rnacentral:rRNA from 1 species